rnacentral:ncRNA from 2 species
UGCCACACCCCGGGGGAGCGCUGCCGGGUUCCCAUCAAAUGCGAAUUUGCUGGGCACCCCACCGCGCUUGAGAGGAAGGCAGGAGCCUUCGACCCGCUGAACCUGAUCCGGUUGAUACCGGCGGAGGGAGGGAGCGGUCGCUACAG